rnacentral:rRNA from 1 species
AUUGAACGCUGGCGGCAUGCCUUACACAUGCAAGUCGAACGGCAGCGCGGGUGCUUGCACCUGGUGGCGAGUGGCGAACGGGUGAGUAAUACAUCGGAACAUGUCCUGUAGUGGGGGAUAGCCCGGCGAAAGCCGGAUUAAUACCGCAUACGAUCUACGGAUGAAAGCGGGGGACCUUCGGGCCUCGCGCUAUAGGGUUGGCCGAUGGCUGAUUAGCUAGUUGGUGGGGUAAAGGCCUACCAAGGCGACGAUCAGUAGCUGGUCUGAGAGGACGACCAGCCACACUGGGACUGAGACACGGCCCAGACUCCUACGGGAGGCAGCAGUGGGGAAUUUUGGACAAUGGGCGAAAGCCUGAUCCAGCAAUGCCGCGUGUGUGAAGAAGGCCUUCGGGUUGUAAAGCACUUUUGUCCGGAAAGAAAUCCUUGGCCCUAAUACGGUCGGGGGAUGACGGUACCGGAAGAAUAAGCACCGGCUAACUACGUGC